CACCAAAUCCUGGCCUGGAGUGGGCAAACUUUUUGGCCUGAGGACCACAUCUGGGUGGGGAAAUUGCGAAUUGCAUGCAGGACCAUGAAUGUUGGGCUGGGGCAGGGGGGUUGGGGUGUGGGAGGGGAUGCGGUGUGCAGGAUGGGGCUCAGGCCAAGGAGUUGGG